GCGCGGCCUUCUGGGAGUUGUAGUCGGGCGGAGGGGUCCGGCCCGCGCAGAGCCGCGUCGCUCACAGUGCGCGAACUACAAGGCUGGCGGCGAGGAGUUCCGCCUCUUUGACAGGCUCCCAGACGCCCACGCGCCUUGCGCCCCUACCGCCGGGUCCGCAGCUCGGCCCGGCCCCCAGGAUGAGCCAGGCGGCCGCCGCGGCUCUGGCCCGCUAGAAGAGGCCCGGUGACCUUGGCCCGGCUCCGGGUUCGAAUCCGCCUCCUCCGCUAGCUGGCUCUGUGACCUUGGGCCUGGCCCCUCGCCCGGGUCCAGGUGACUCCGUGGGACGAGGAUGACCCGCCUCGUAGGCUGGGCGGGUUCCGGAGGGCUCUGGGCCCGGCCGUCGCCGGGUCGGGGUCCGCCCUGGGCGAUGGGGCGGCUGCAGGCCGGCACACCUGGCCUGUAGCUUGGAACGCCUGCCCUAGAGGCGCCCUUCCAAACUCGCUCUCUCCCUGCGGCCCCCUGCAGCCGUCGCCUGGGCUCCUGGUGCCUUGCGACCCUGCAAGGUCCCGGGGGCGUCCAGCCAUUUCUCACAACCUCUCAUUCACCCACCGCGAACCCCGUCAGACCCUCCCAGGCCUUCCAGCGGGGCUGCUGCGCCCGGACCUUCCUCCUUGCUGGGCGCUUUGCCCGUCAUCAGCAAGCCCCAGGUACAGUUCUGCCCUUAGAUCUGGACCACAGGGGUGCCUUGCCUGGGCCCUGCACUCCAGAGGGCCUCACCCAUCACAUACAUUGAGGCAUAAAAGAUGUGUUUUCCCGUCUUUGGUUUCAUGACUGACUACCGGGCAGAGAUGCAGAGGAGAUCGGCACUAGGAUGUAUGCCGCCGCCUUCUAAUCCUCUGACCCGUUCUUCAUGCCGCAAACGGAUGAGCGAAUAUGAUCAGAUCAACCCUCUGCUUAAAGGCUUUCAGACUCCACGUUGUGUGGGCGGAAUAAAGACCUGUCACCCCUCCUGGAGGACUUUGAAUGACCCUGCUGCUGAAGGUGGAGUUUGAGAGGGUGGGUUGGGAUGCCUGUCCUGGCACCCCCCUGGGUGGGCAGUGUUUUGGGCUGCCUCCCUCCCCACACAGGCUGAGUCAGACACUCCCUGCUCCCGCAGCCCCUGUGCUUUCUCUUGUCAGAGCACAUUGUGCUGGACUGGGAUUCUUGGUAUUCACCAGUAUCCCCAGAAACAUGAAGUCAGGGGAUAAAACAUGGCAGUGUCUACCUCCUGCACCUCUGAACCCCAGCUCCUGCCAGGCAAGGGCUGGGCGCAUACCAGUAUUUGCUGGAUGGAUGAAUGACGUAAUCAUGACCACUUGUCAACCAAUUAUGCACCAGCCCUCUGCCUGCUGCUAAAUCAUCUCAUUUAAUCCACACAACCAUUCUCAAGAUAGGCACCAACAGCCAACAGGUGAGAAACUGUACGUUUGUACUUGGUGAGGGCUUUGCCCAGACUCACCCAGAUAGUCAGAGGCAGAGCCCAGAUUUCAACUCAAGUGUGGCUGCAGUGAGACUUUUGGGUUCCAGCAGAGCACAUCGUGAAUCGAUCGGGAGUUCCUCGGGUGGCUGGAGACAGGGGAACCCUCUCUGAAGAGGUGAGCCAGAGCCAGUCACUGUCAGAGCAAAGAACUUUCAGAAAUUCAAGACCCUGGAGCAGGGGAAAGCUCAGCAAAUCCCAGGAACCAACAGCAGCCGUCACAACUGGAGCAAAUGGAAGUGGCAGAAGCCACAUCCUCCAUGUAUGUUGGGUUCUAUUCUAAAUGCAGCUGGGAGCCCUGGAGGGUUUUGAGUAGGGACUUUCAUGGCAGGUUGUACAUUUUUGAGAAAACCCUGGCUGUUAUGUUGAGAGUGGAUAUCAGGGGAGCAAGAUUAGAGGCCGGGACACUUACGACAGCCUCACAGGGUGUGGAGAGGGUGCUCCUAGCAGACAGAAUUAGGAAGAAAAGGCAUAAAGCAGUGGUUCCCAACCUUUGCUUUUCAUCAUCUCCUAAGGAAAAAUUAGUAAGAAAUUAAGGAGAGAAUACUAAGGAAUAAGAUUUUGUCUGGCAGGGUUGAACUUUGGAGGGCCACAAACCAUUGUAGUAUCUACAGGUCUGUUUCUCCCCUUAAGAGUCAAUUUUCACCCCCUUGAGGAAUGUGUUAGUGUUCUCCAGAGAAACAGCUCCAAUAGGAGAUAUCUAUCUAUCUAUCUAUCUAUAGAUUUAUAUAGAUAGAUAGGUAGAUAAAGAUAUAUACCUAUUUAUUUGAAGGACCUGGCUCACACAGUGACGGAAGCUGACACGUCCCAAGACCUGCAGUCAGCAAGCUGGAAACCUCAGAGAGCCCGUGGUGUAGUGCAAGUCCGUGGGCCUGAGACCCCGGAGGGCUGAUGGUGUUGUUCUAGGCCAAAGUCAGCAGGCUUGAGACCCAAGAAGAGCUGUUUCAGUUUGAGUCCAAAGGUAGGAAAAAAAUAACUGAUUCAGCUUGGAGGCACUCAGGCAGCAGUUGUCGUCUUUUUGUUCUAUUCAGGCCUUCAACUGCUUGGAUGGGGAGGGCAGCCUGCUUCACUCAGUCCACCGAUUCCAGGGCUAAUCUCACCCGGAAACACCCUCAGCAGACACAUCCAGAGUCAUGUUUGACCGAAUGUCUGGCCGCCCUAUGGCCCAGCCAAGUUGACCUAAAAUAACCGUCACAAGGGAGAUUCAGGACUUAGGGCCAGAAAGGUCUUUGUAUCCUCGUAACAGUGACGGCAGCUCAGUCUCGCGGGAGCACAGCCGUCAUAGGGAGGGAAGGAGUCAGGCAUGGAGAUGCCACUCCAAGCACCUCGUGGUCCUGGAAGGCUCUCAGAACCACCUUCAGGGAAGGGUGGCAUAUGCUGGGUGUUUCUGUAAAAGUGAAGUUUUAUCACUUUCAUGUGCAGUAAAUAUUAAUCAAGAUAUGAAUACGUACUGGUAACAAGGCAAUUGUAUAAGAAAAAUCAGGUAAGUUCAUGAUCUCACAAUUCAUAACCAGUGAGCAUUACAUAAUAAUGAACCUAGAUAGCCUUUUCUAAUUUCUGACUUUGUUAAGUCUGCAGAAAUGACAGUUGGACACCCCUUCUCAAGCCAUUUCCAUGCCCCAAGCAGCCCCAAGCAAAACUCCAGCAGCGGGCUUCCCCAACCCACGCCACCCUAGCAGAGCACAGAGAAUUCUCUGCAGAAACUACAGUGUGAGAAUGGAUAUGGCCAUAUUCAUGUUUGGGAUCCCAAAGAGUCAGGCAGCUGUUCAUGUGCACCCAAAAUUGAAGCCCUCAGGUCAGAAGCUCUGCUCUGUGGAGCUUCUGAUCAGCCUCUAAGCAUGUCACUUGUAGACAUGAAGGAAAAGUCAAGGAUCACCAGUCAUUUAAGAAAUGGCUCAAGUGCAGAUAUAAAAACGUGUGUGUGAAGGGGAGCAGGCAAAGAAGCUGUUAAUGGAAGGAAUCAAAAUAUUUCUCAAAAACUGCUAAUAGCCUCAGGGACGUUUAAGAAAGGAGUCUUGAAAUUAAAAAUACAGCCAAAAUUGUAAAAGAAAUUCAAUAGAAGGGUUGCAAGAUAAAGUUAAGGAAAUUAUUCAGUAAGUAGAACAAAAAGACACAGAAAAUCAGAGAGAAAUGAGACUUAAAAUCUCAGUCCAUGAGGUCCAACUACUUUCCAAUACGAACUCUAGGGGAAAAAAUAGAGGGAAGUAACUUUUGAAAGAAAUACAAUUUAUCAGAAGUAAGGACUUGAAUGUCCAGAUUGAAAGAGUCCACCAAUGAUGGUGACUGACUGGAGGGAACCAGAGGUAAACAGCCUAAAACAUUCAGAGAGAAAAAAGGAAAUCACAUUUAAAAAAAAAAAAAAAGGCAGGAACACGAAUCUCACUGAGCAAUAACGCUCAUGACGUUCAGUGCCAAGUAGUGGAGGAGCCCUUUACAAUUCUGAAAGAAAAUCACAUACAAGGUAGAAUUGUAUAGUCAGCCAAACUGUCGAUCAUGUAUGGAGACAAAAAAACCCAAUUUUGGACAUUCAAAUUAUCUUUUUCAGGUAAACAGACUAACAUAGUAACAGAAAACCCCUAAAAUUCCAGUAGAUGUAUUUCUCACAAAGGCUGUUAAGUCCCCUUCAUCUUAUAACUGAGGUAGGACUCACCAGGGUCAGGAACUCCGGUGCUCAGUGCGAAGCCCUUAAUGGUGUCCUAAGGGUGGGGAGUGAACCCGCGGUGGACAGAACCCUACCCGCCAGCAACGCAGCCUUCACGUAGUUUAGACCAGAUUAAGGUGAGGAGCACCGGCUCCACUUGCGGGGCAGAGGAAGAUAUCGUCUGUAGCCUCUGCAAUCUUCUAUACACAAGUCAGCUUUCAGUUAAAAUUUUGUAGGCAGGUCAAGACACAGGGCCAUUUUACAGAAAAUAAAAAAGCAGAAGGCUACAAAAGCCCAUAGGUGAGUCACAUAUUGGAGUUAGUAGACAAAGAUAUAUUGUAACAGUAGUUAAUAUGUUUAAGAAAAGAGAAAAAGAUGUAAAAAACAGAUGAAAGAAUGGAGAAUUUCACCCAAGAAUUGAAAUCUAUAAGAAGAUUAACUAGAACUGAAAAAUAAAGUAACUGAAAUUAAGACUUCAAUAAAUUAAUAGGUGAGACAUAGUACAUGAAAGGAUUAAUAAUUAGAAGAAAAUUCAAUAUAAAACAACUAGCACAGAGAGAAAAAAACUGAUAAAACAGCGAAGAGAACAGAAAACAGAUGACACAGCUCAAAGUUUAAAUGCACGCAACUGGUGUCCCAAAGGCAAGGGGAGAGAAGGCCCCCGAAGCAGAUUCUCCAGAACUGAUAUUUACCCACAGUUCCAGGUCUCUCCAUGAAACGGCAAACAGACCACACCGAAGGGUAAGCACGUCACUGCCCCGCUGCUGAAAACACAGACAAAGACAAAAAGUCAAAGAAGAUUUUCCUGUCUCCAGAGGUACGUGACAGCCGACUGCAACAGCAAUGAAGCUAGGGAGCGAUCGAAUGACAGAGUAAUUAAGGAAAAAACUGCCAACUUCUAAUUUUAAAAAAUCUUAAUGUUUUAUUUAACACAACAUAUUCGAAACAUCAUGACUAAAACAUGUAAUCAAUACACAAUUAUUAACACUUUUUUUAUACUAAGUUUUCAGAAUCCUGUGUCCUAUUUACACUUCCAGGCUCUCCACGUUUGGAGUCACUGUGUUCUGAGUACUCAACAGACACGCGACUUACGACAACCAUAUUAGACAGCAACCUGUAUUUUUUUUACUUAGAAACAAAAAUAUCAUGCAAGAAUGAAGGUAAAAUAAUGGCAUUUUCAGAUAAACAAAAAUAGAAUUUAUUGCCAGCAGGAAUUCACUAAAAGAAAUACUAAAGAAGGUUCUUUGUUUUUUGUUUUGUUUUGUUUUGGGGGGCAGGUAAUUUAUUUAUUUUAAAUGGAGGUACUAAGGAUUGAACCCAGGACCUCGAGCAUGCUAGGCAUGCACUCUACCACUGAGCUGUACCCAACCUCCCAAAGGAAGUUUUCUGGGCAAUAGGAAAAUUGCUCCAGAUGGAAAUGAAGAAAGGAAUAAAGACCAAAUGUAUAUAAAUGAAAUAUAUAUAAGAUUUUAUAUCUAGAUAUAGAUAUGAUUAUUUUAUGCCAGCUUUUUUAAUUUUUAAAAAUUGUGGCAAAUAUAUAUAUAUAAUGCAGAAUUCACCAUUUUAAUCUUUUUCAAGUGUACAAUUCAGUUGGCAUUAGCUACAUUCACAGUGCUGUCCAGCCAUCACCACUAUCCAUUUCCAGAAUGUUUCACCAUCCCAGAUACUCGGUGCCCAUCAAACAAUACGUCCUUUUCCCUUCUACUCCCAGGCCCCGUUAACCUCUAGUCUACUUUGUUUCUAUGAGUUUGCCUAUUGUAGGUACCUCAUGUUAAGUGGAAUCAUACAAUAUUUGUACUUUGAUGUCUAGCUUAUUUCACUUCGUGUGUUAUCAGGGUUCACCCAUGUGGUAAGUAUGUGCCAGAAUGUCUUUCCUUCUUCAGGCUGAGUAAUAACCCACUGUGUGCAUAUGCCACGCCAUGUCUUAUCUGUUCGUCUGCUGGAAGGCGUUUGGGUUGUUUCUCCCUUCGGCUGUUGUGAACAACGUUGCUAUGAACCGUGGUGUACAAGUUACCUGUCUGAGGCCCUGCUUUCAGUUAUUUGGGGUAUCUAUCUGGAGUGAAAUUGCUAGAUCAUAUGGUAAUUCUAUAUAGAACCUUUUGAGGACCCACUAAACUGUCUUCUAGAGCACUUGGGCGUUUUAUAUUUCUACCGGCAAUGCACAAGUGUUCCAGUUUCUUUCUGCGCGUCCUCGCCAACACGCGCGUCCUGUUGUUGGUAACGGCCCUUUCUAAGGGGUGUGAAGUGGUGUCUCCCUGUGGUUUUGACACACGUUUCACUCGUGGCUAAUCUGCUGUGUCCCCUGCGCGUGCUUAUCGGUCACUUGUAUAUCUUCUUUGGAAAAACAUCUACUUCAGUCCUUUGCCAAUUUUUACCUUUUGCAAAUAUUUUCUCCCAUUCCGUAGGUUUUGGGAAUUUUUAAGUUGGGCUGUCUGACUUUUGUUCUUGUUGAGUUAUAGGAGCACUUUAUAUUCUGGUUAUUAGUUCCUUAUCAGAUAGAAGACUUGCAAAUAUUUUCUCCCAUUCUGUAGGUGGGUUGUCUUUUCAUUCUCCUGAUAGUGUCCUUUGAUGCACAAAAAGUUGUAAUUUUAAUGAAGUCAAAUUUAUUUUUCCUUUUGUUGCCCAUAUUUUUGUUGUCAUAUUGAAGAAGCCACUGCCAAAUCCAAAGUCAUGAAUAAUCAUGUCUGUGUUUUCUUAUAAGAAUUUUAUAGUUGUAGCUCUUAAAUUUAGAACUUUGAUCCAUUUUUCAUUAAUUCUUAUAAAUGGUUGAAUUCUUUGGCAUAUGAAUAUCCAAUUAUCCAAGCACCAGUUGUUGGAGAGACCUUUCUUUCUCCACUGAAUGGUUUUGAAACCUUGUGAAAAUCAUUUGGCCACAGAAGUGACGGUUUAUUUCUGGGCUCUCAAUCUUAUUCCAUUGGUUUGUAUGUCUGUCCCCGUGCCAGCACCACACUUUUGAUCCCUGUUCCCUUAUGAGAAGUUUUCUAACUGGGAAGUGAGUCGUUUUCAAGGUUGUUUUGGCUGUCCUGGGUCCCUGGGAAUCCCACACGAAUUUUAAGAUGGGUUUUUCCAUUUCUAUAGAAAUUGCCAUUGGGGCUGGAGUCUGGGAGGGACUGCACUGCUUUAGGCAGCACUGCCAUCUUACCAGUGCUAAGUCUUCCAAACCAUGAGUAUGGGAUGCCUGCUUAUUUAGGUUUACGUGUUUUGUGGUGACGGUUCUUUCACCAAUGUCUCAGUGUACACAUUUUGCGCCUACUUGGUUAAAUUUAUUCCUAAUUUAUUCUUUCUGAUGCUAUUGAAAAUGGAAUUUUCUUAAUUUCCCUUUCAGAUUGUUGAUGGUGUAUAGAAAUACAACCGAUUUGUGAAUCUGUACCCUGUAACUGUGAGUGUGCUGUGGAUUACCCAGGGGUCACCUGCAGAUGCUUCUCCUUGUUUCUAACUUGGGUAUCUUGCCUUUCUUUCUCGCCUGAUUGCUCUGGCUAGCGCUUCCAGAACUAUGCUGAAUGUAAGUGAUGAAGGUGAGUGUCUCGUUCCUGACCUUGGGGAACAGCUGUGUCCCUCUGCACUGAGCAUGUUAACUACAGGCUUUUCAUACGUGGCUUCUGUGAUGCUGAGGCACUCUUCUUCUAUUCCUGGCCUGCUGAAUGCUUUUUUUUUUUUCCAUGAAAGGAUGCUGGAUUUUGUCAAAAGCUUUUUUUGCAUCAGUUGAGAUGAUCAUGUGUUUAUUUCUACUAAUGUGGUGUACUGAUUUUCAUAGGUUGAGCCACUCUUGCAGUCCUGAAAAAACACCAGUCACUGUGUAACCCUUUCGACAUGCUGCCAAAUCCAGGGCGCGAGCACUUCGUCGAAGAUUUUUGCAUCUGUAUUCACGAGAUAUUUACUCUGCCGUUUCCUUUUCCUGUAGUGUCUUUGUGUGGCUUCAGUAUCAGGACAUUACUGACUUCACAAAAUGAGUUAGAAGUGUUUCCUCUUCCUCUUGAAUUUUUUGGAAGAAUUUGAAAAAGAUUCUUUUUUUUUUUUUUUUUAACACAUUUGCUAGACUCUCUCCAUGAAGCCAUCUGGUUCCGGGCUUCUCUCCGCUGGGGUUCUGCACAGUUUCAACCUCAUUUUUAUAGGUCUACUCAUACUUUCUAUCUGUCCUGGAGUCGGUUUUGGUUAGUAUUUCUAGGAACUUGUCCAUCUCAUCUGUUGUCUAAUUUGCUGACAUGCAGGUGUUCACAGUAGUCUUUUAUAAUUCUCAUUUUUGAGAAGUUCGGUGAUGUCCUCUUUGAUUGUUUUUCGUAGUUUGAGUCUUCCCUCUUGCUUAGUCAGCCUAGCUGAAGGUCUGUCAAUUUUGUUGACCUCCUCAAAGAAACAACUUCCGGUGUCCUUGGUUUUCUCUAUUGUUUUCUAGCCUCAACUUCAUCUCUCUGCUUUGUUCUUUAUCGCUUCCCUUCUGCUAGCUUUGAGUUUACUUUGCUCUUUUUAGUUCCUUAAGGCAAACAAUUAGGGUGUUGAUUUGAUCUUCUGACGUAGACGUCUGCAACUGUAAAUAUCCCUGUGAGCACUGCUCACUGCCUUCCCUAAGUUUUGGACGUUGUGUUUUCAUUUUUGUUCUUCUCAAGGUAAUUUCUAAUUUCCUUUGAACCGCUGGGUUGUUUAAAAGUAUGUUGUUUAAUAUCUACAUGUUUGUGAGUUUUCCUGAAUGUUCACUCUCUAUAAUCCAUUAAUUUCACACUUAGGUGUAUGUCCAACAGGUAUGUGAGCAAAAUUGUACCAAGAGACAAACACAAAACACAAUGUUCAGUUUGGCUAUUAAUAGCCAAAAAAGCUUAAAUGACUGAAAGAAUGGAUAAAAUGAAGCAUCGUCAUCUAAGGAUAUACUAUACCGGAAAGAAAAAGAACAAACUACACAACGAAAACUACACAACGAGAACGCAUCCCACUAAUCUAAUAUUGAGCAAUAGAAGCCACGCCUCUCCAAAAAAUACACAUUGUGAUUCCAUCUACUUAAAGUUCAAAUAACAGACCAAGUAAAUUAUGUGAUUAA